rnacentral:rRNA from 1 species
UACAGAGGUCUCAAGCGUUGUUCGGAUUCAUUGGGCGUAAAGGGUGCGUAGGUGGCGCCGUAAGUCAGGUGUGAAAUUUCGGAGCUUAACCCCGAAACUGCAUUUGAUACUGCGGUGCUUGAGGACUGGAGAGGAGACUGGAAUUUACGGUGUAGCAGUGAAAUGCGUAGAGAUCGUAAGGAAGACCAGUGGCGAAGGCGGGUCUCUGGACAGUUCCUGACACUGAGCACGAAGGCCAGGGGAGCAAACGGG